rnacentral:rRNA from 1 species
GAUGAACGCUGGCGGCGUGCCUAAUACAUGCAAGUCGAGCGAACAGACGAUGAGCUUGCUCCUCUGACGUUAGCGGCUGACGGGUGAGUAACACGUGGAUAACCUACCUCUAUGACUUGGAUAACUUCGUGAAACCGGAGCUACUACCGGAUAAUAUAUUGAACCGCAUGGUUCAAUAGUGAAAGACGGUUUUGCUGUCACUUAUAGAUGGAUCCGCGCCGCAUUAGCUAGUUGGUAAGGUAACGGCUUACCAAGGCGACGAUGCGUAGCCGACCUGAGAGGGUGAUCGGCCACACUGGAACUGAGACACGGUCCAGACUCCUACGGGAGGCAGCAGUAGGGAAUCUUCCACAAUGGGCGAAAGCCUGACGGAGCAACGCCGCGUGAGUGAUGAAGGUCUUCGGAUCGUAAAACUCUGUUAUUAGGGAAGAACAAAUGUGUAAGUAACUAUGCACGUCUUGACGGUACCUAAUCAGAAAGCCACGGCUAACUACGUG